ACAAACAAGACUGACACUGUUUCACAAAUCUUUAAAAGAAAACUUUCAUCAGACAUCUUUAAGUUUGAUUGUUCACUGUGGAUGGGAUGGAAAAUAUGAUGAUCUGUGGCUUGUUAUUUCUAGUUACUGUUCACGGAGUUUGGAGUGAGAUCAGACUGGACCAGCCUCCCUCUGAGGUGAAGAGACCUGGAGAGACAGUGAAGAUUUCAUGUGUCACAUCUGGUUAUACCAUGACGAGCUACAGUAUUAGCUGGAUACGACAGAAACAAGGGAAAGCUCUGGAGUGCAUUGGAUGGAUUAACACAGCCACAACUGCUGCUACCUAUGCCAGCUCCUUUCAAAGUAGAUUCAGUUUUACUCAGGAUGUGUCCAGCAGCACUCAGUACCUUGACAUCAAGAGUCUGACAGUAGAAGAUUCUGCUGUUUACUUCUGUGCUCGUUAUCACAGUGACUGAAGACAGUGGAGAAGCUGCACAAAAACCUCCACAGACAACAAGUCUACAGAGGGGU